UACGUAGGGACCAAGCGUUGUCCGGAAUCAUUGGGCGUAAAGAGCGUGUAGGCGGCUUGUUAAGUCUUGCGUGAAAUCUCGGGGCUCAACCCCGAGCGGUCGUGAGAAACUGGCAGGCUAGAGUGCGGGAGAGGAGAGUGGAAUUCCUGGUGUAGCGGUGAAAUGCGCAGAUAUCAGGAAGAACACCCAUGGCGAAGGCGGCUCUCUGGGACGGUACUGACGCUGAGACGCGAAAGCGUGGGGAGCGAACAGG
rnacentral:rRNA from 1 species